rnacentral:sRNA from 1 species
UAAAGAGGUUUACAUCCUCGCGGCCCCGU